GCCUACGGGGCGCAGCAGUGAGGAAUAUUGGUCAAUGGGCGGGAGCCUGAACCAGCCAAGUCGCGUGAGGGAAGACGGUCCUACGGAUUGUAAACCUCUUUUGCCGGGGAGCAACGGGGUCCUUGCGAGGGCCCGAUGAGAGUACCCGGAGAAAAAGCAUCGGCUAACUCCGUGCCAGCAGCCGCGGUAAUACGUAGGUGGCGAGCGUUAUCCGGAAUGAUUGGGCGUAAAGGGUGCGUAGGCGGCCUGCUAAGUCUGGAGUGAAAGGUACCGGCUCAACCGGUACAGGCUCUGGAAACUGGCGG
rnacentral:rRNA from 1 species